rnacentral:lncRNA from 1 species
GUGAAGUUCUACAAUACUUCACCUACGAGUUUAUCAUCUUUCAAAGUUUAUCACACAGUCACAGAUGUCUGAUAUUAUUUUAAUUUUAAUUUUUUUACAAAUCAUAAUAAUCUAAAAUUUUGUAGGUGUGUACGUCUUAGUGAGAUGCAUAUGAAUAAAACAUAAAACAAUAAUUUGAAUGAUAAAAAAUAUGCAAAAUACCCCUAUAAAGUUUCAAGGGUAAUUUCAUCAUUUUAUUUGGACUACUAUUUUUUUUAUUAUUUUAUUUUGGUGUGACUUGGUCAUAUGUACAUGCGCCCCAAAUUUUCGAAAAAUUCGGUUAGUAAAAUAACUAUAAAAAUUCAAAUACUACAAACGUCUAUAGGUGAAGUUUUAUAGUACUUCACUUGCGGCUUUAUCACUGUUCAAAAUUUAUCACAUGGUCACAGAUGCCGGAUAGUGUUUGAAUUUUAAUAUUUUGUUUACAAAUCGUAAUGAUCUAAAAUUUUGUAGGUGUGUGCGCUUAGUGAGAUGCAUAUGAAUAAAAUACAAAACAAAUAAUUUGAAUGAUAAAAAUUAUACAAAAUACGCCUAUAAAGUUUCAGGGGUAAUUUCAUCAUUUUAUUUUAUGACUAUUAUUUUUUUAAUAUUUUAUUUUGGUACAACUUGGUAAUAUGUACACACGCCCUAAAUUUUUAGAUAAAUAUGAUUAGUAUAAUAAUUAUAAAAAUUCUAAUACUACCGGACAACAUGUGGUUCAGAAUGCGUAUCACUAAAUGAAUUUUAAUAUUCUUUUUUAGAAAUUGGUUUAUAAUGAAAUUUUAGCAGUAUGUACUAAAAAAUAGGGCGCACAAUUAAAAAAUAUAUAAAACAAUAUUUUCUAAAAUAUAAUGAUAGAAAUACCCUUGAAAAAUGAUGGGGUAAUUUGGUCAUUCUAAAUUAUUGAAAAUAAUUUCUUUUUUAUAUUUUUAUAUGAUGCGCAAUAGUGUUAGAUAUAUACACCUAAAAUUUUAUCUUAAUUAGAUUGAUAAAUAAAAUAAAAUUAAAAUAGUGAUAUGUAUUUUGAACCACUCGAUGAAGGGGUGACGGCUAGGAUUCCACCUAUAUGACUUAAAAUUUGGAUCGUGUGUUAAUAAAAAAUAGGCAAAUCUACGAAAAAAUAUCAAAAAAAUAUUUACAUGAAAAAAUCACCAAAAUACCAUCAAAACAUUUCGGGGGUAGUUUGAUCAAUUUAUUUUUACGAAUUAAUUUUUUUAUAUUUUUAUUAGAUGCGCCUCUCUAAUAAAUAAAAAUAAGGGACAAGAAGAGAGAGAAAAAGAUCCAUGAGAGAGACAAAAGCUGAUAAUAUCUUCCAUUUUAAAAAAAGAUUUGAGAGACAUAAAAGAGAGAAAAACAAAAAAGAUUGAUUAUUCACUCUAUGCAAAUAACCAAAACUGAUAAGCAACAUCUAUUCAAGAACCAGAAGAAAUUGAGAAGCAUCUAUUCAAGAAACAGAAGAAAUUGAGAAGGCCAACAGGGGAAGAGGGUUUCAAGAAACAAAAGAAAUUGAGAAGGGCAGCAGGGAGAGGGUUUCAAGAAACCCAAGAAAUUGAUAAGGGCAGCAGGAGAGGGAUCGAUAUAUCUGAAUAAUAGUUUCUUGAGCUGAAUUGUGAGAUGUGAAAAUGAAGCUGCUGGAUCUCUUUUUUCAAUCAGAGUAAGUGUAUACUAUGCACCCCUGGACGUACACUGCACACGCUGAAAUUCCAACAUAACUUCAGAAAGAAACUACUUAUUUUUCACUCGGCGAUCACCCUAGAGCUCCGUUUGUGGAAGCCCUAUUUUAGGUUCCAUAUUUUCCAAGACCGUAACCAAAUUGAUAGCCACAUUUUCGUUCAUUGAUAUGUUGCCAUGACAUUAAAUGGAAAAUGUUUUGAUAGGGUUGGGGCCCUAUCAAAAUGAAC